GACGAACGCUGGCGGCGUGCCUAAUACAUGCCAGUAGAACGCACAGUUUAUACCGUAGCUUGCUACACCAUAGACUGUGAGUUGCGAACGGGUGAGUAGCGCGUAGGUAACCUGCCUGGUAGCGGGGGAUAACUAUUGGAAACGAUAGCUAAUACCGCAUAAUAUUAAUUAUUGCAUGAUAAUUAAUUGAAAGGUGCAAUUGCACCACUACCAGAUGGACCUGCGUUGUAUUAGCUAGUAGGUGAGGUAACGGCUCACCUAGGCGACGAUACAUAGCCGACCUGAGAGGGUGAUCGGCCACACUGGGACUGAGACACGGCCCAGACUCCUACGGGAGGCAGCAGUAGGGAAUCUUCGGCAAUGGACGAAAGUCUGACCGAGCAACGCCGCGUGAGUGAAGAAGGGUUUCGGAUCGUAAAGCUCUGUUGUAAGAGAAGAACGGGUGUGAGAGUGGAAAGUUCACACUGUGACGGUAUCUUACCAGAAAGGGACGGCUAACUACGUG
rnacentral:rRNA from 1 species